GGGCCCGUAGCUCAGCCAGGACGGAGCGCCGGCCCUCUAAGCCGGUGGUCGGGGGUUCAAAUCCCCCCGGGCCCG
rnacentral:tRNA from 3 species